rnacentral:lncRNA from 1 species
UUUCCUUUUAAUUUGAUAAAAUCUAUAAUUGAUACACAAUUAGUAUAUAUGCUAUAUGUUUGGACAAGCUCGGCUAAUUUCCCUUAUCCUGGGGGUGCCGCGGGUGCAGGCGCCGCGGGUGCAGGUGCAGCUCCUCCUGCCGCAGGUGCCGCUCCACCCCCUGGUAUACCAUUGAGUAGAUUUUUUAACCAUCCUGGGAUAUUUCCGGACGAUUGAGAUCCUUUAUUUCCAAAUGUUCCAGAAAAUGGUUUUCCUCCCCAUGAUCCUCCA